GUCUGUGACCUUAUUACCUUGAAUGUACCUGAUCUUAUCUGAUUUCAGAAGCCAUGAAGGUUUGAGCCUCCUUAGUAUUUGGAUAAGGGACUGCCUGGGAAUAUUGGGUGCUAUAGGAU
rnacentral:rRNA from 1 species